rnacentral:lncRNA from 1 species
UUUAAAUUAUUACUAAGGUACCGUUUGGUUCAGGUAUAAGUAAGAACUAAUUAUUAUAGGGAUAGGUACAAGUAUGUGGAUAAGAAAAAUAGGAUUUGGAUGAAAAUUGGGUUGUUUCCAACAAUUUUAGAUAGUUUUAUAUAAAAAAUGGAGGUAUUGGUGGGGAUAAUCGAGAACUACUAUUCUGUAUAAAGGGGGCGAUAAGAGACUAUUCCUAUCCCUAUCCCCUAACCAAAUUUUAGAGUUAAAAUAUUAGAGUCAAAAUUUUAGAGUUAAAAUAUUAUUAACUGAUUCAAAUUAAAUAAAUUAAAAUAAUAAAUAAUAGAAUCAAAAGUUUAAAAGGAUAGAUAUCUGAAUCAAAAUAAUUUAUGAAUCGGCUAAGUUUUAUAUGUUUUACCUUUAGCUUAUUAAGUAUAGAGGUGAAAACAAUCGCGUACG